AUCGCUUCUCGGCCUUUUGGCUAAGAUCAAGUGUAGUAUCUGUUCUUAUCAGUUUAAUAUCUGAUACGUCCCCCAUCCGGGGACUACAUAUUAAAUGGAUUUUUAGAUCACGGAGCUGGAGCCGGGGCUUGCUCCGUCCACUCCAUGCAUCGGCCUGGUAUUGCAGUGUCUCCAGGAACGGUGUGCUUUCC
ensembl:snRNA U2 U2 spliceosomal RNA